rnacentral:lncRNA from 10 species
GCAAGACUCUGUCUCAAAAAUAAAAACAACCCCUCCCAUCAAAACAUUGUUUUUCGAAAACAGUAGAGACGGAGUUAUACUUCCAAAUAGCUUGCACUCAUUUUAAGCACUGGAAGUACUGUCCUGGGAAUCUUGUCAGGACUGAAAAUUCACCAGAAGAGAGAAAACAGAUUUGAUGUGUCCUCUUUCCAACCCAAGCUGCUUCCCAUGCUGUGAGCAUUAUCAGAGAAGGAGACAGAGGAGCCUGGUUUCUAGGCCUUUCUACAAGAGCGAAAUGUGCCUCUUCUUCCCUUAACCCCAGCAGCCCAUCUCUCAUCCACUUGAUGUCCUCUGAAACUGGAACCAAAUGCUCCACUUUGCAAAUCCCCACAAUUGCCAACCUCACCUGACAAGGCACCCUCAGAGAGACUGAUCCAAGAAUCUGAAGUCAAGCAUUUAUUUGAAAUCACUGAGUCAAAUACAAGUAAAUCCCCUUGCCCCAAUAAAGAGGAGCAGUUAUAUGACAGAGGUACAGAACACCAAAGACCAUACAUUUAUUUAUCAAAAGAGUGGCAACACUGGGGGCCGGGGACGACGGCUUACACCUGUAAUCCAAGCACUUUGGGAGGCUGAGGUGGGCAGAUCACUUGAAGUCAGGCGUUCGAGACCAGCCUGGCCAACAUGGUGAGACCCUGUCUCUAUUAAAAAUACAAGAAAUAGCCAUGCAUGGUGGUGCGUGCCUAUAAUUCCAGCUACUUGUGAAGCCGAGGCAUGAGAAUAGCUCAAACCUGGGAGGUGAAGGUUGCAGUGCGCUGAGAUCGUGCCAUUACACUCCAGCCUGAGUAACACAGCGAGAUUCCAUCUAAAAAAAAAAAAAAAAAAAAAAAAGAGUGGCAACACUGAGUAAGCCUGAAUUUGUUGUCCAAGAAGUCCAAUUACAAGGGUUAGUUCCCCAGGAGACUCUCAGAAGUGGGCUAAUCUGUCCAGCUACUGUUCCGGCUCUUCCAUAUUGGAUGUCUGUGGCUUAAGACACCUCUGAAAUGCCUAAUCAGUGCAAAACAAAAACAAAAGAAAACAAAGACAACUGCCACUAACAGAAACCAAUGCACAGGAGCAGGCUAUCCCUGUGUAUCAUUUUUCAUGAUCUGUAAUGUUGGGAUGUCCUCAUGUCUGAAAUUCUGCAGUUACGGAUUAAAUCUUGUUUCCUGGUAAAAAGUUGCCAUGCUGAAAAAGAAAAGGGAUACAUCGGAUCAUUUCCUUUUUCCCGGGCCUUGCCCUUGAGCUGAAGAAUGCUAUUUAUUAUUUUAUACUCCUCCUGACAUUGUCUUAUUGUCUUGCUGCACACAAUCUGUCCUCAAACUGAAUCUCCAAAUUUCCUGAUUCUUUUGAGUAACUCUGGUACGAAGACUUGAAAGACAGCUCAGCUAAGAGAAAAAUUCUCUAACCAAAAAGAAGAAGAAGGAGGAGGGGGAGUAAAGAAAGCAAAAGGAAAGACACUCAAGGCAAUUAAAACUUUAAUUUUUCAUGACUCACGUUUCUAUAAAUGUAAAUGACUAAUAGACACCAUGAAAUAUUAAUCAAGUCAGUAAUCCAGGAUUAUAUAUGAUGCCAAAUUGCUCCCUGUUGCCAGUGAAAAAGCUAUCAGGCAGCAAUUUCUGCAAAGAAACACAAGCUUCCAAAUGCCCCGACAGAGGAGUGAGAUCUCACUUGGUGCUUCAUUUUUCAUAAGGAACAGUCUUGGAUUGGAAGGCUGUGCUGUUCUCAAUCGCAGGACAAAAAGGAGAACGACACGGGAAGAUGCGGAACAGACCUACACGGAAAUCUAGCAGGGACUGUCAUCUGAUAUUGCAGAUGCUUUACCAGAGGGCCUGCUACUCACCAGGAUUAAACUCUGGGAGCGUAUGUGUUUACGCAUCAGGGGAUCAUAUUAGAGGGAAGGCCUUGCUGGGGACUAAACUUGUUUCAUUAGUUUCUUUUCUUCAGCAAAAUAGGUUACAGGCUAUGUCACAGUAGAGCAAAUGCUAUGAGUAGUGGCCUCUGGAAAGGGUGUUUUGGGGGUUCCUGGAAGUCACGGCAUAUGGCCUCCCUUCGCAGGUGCAGCUGUGCAGGAAGAAGAGAGAGCUCACCUGGAAGAUGGGAGCCAGUGACUCCGGUUCCCUGAUCAGAGCUCCCAGGACCAGCUUGAGCCCUGAGAAGAGGCUGAUCCCUGGAAGCUGACAUUUUGGGAGCAGAGACUGGGGCCUCAUGGUUGGCUUAGUGCUAAGGGUGCAUGAUUGUCUUCCCUAGAACUGCACCCAGGACAGUCUUCCCAGCCAGCAAAGGGUCAUCUCAUCAGGGGAUGAACAACACUGUCAUCCGGGAGCCAUCCUUCAGCAGUUACAUCAUGUGCCAGGGGAUGAGCACAGAACUGAACUGAUCGACUCUAGUUCUCUCUCCUAGUGGCAUGUGAAGGCUGAGCCAACCUACUACAGGUGGCCUAAGGGUCCCUGGACUUCCUAGACAAUGAAGGAUGGAGUGGGAUGAGAGCCUCAACAGGGAAAUACUGAUUUUCUGAUAAUGGGGAAUGUGGAAUGAACAAUUAUUUUGUGGCAGAAACUGUUAUCUGUGGACCCAGCAGCCUUUCUCUGCUAGAGCCCACCUCUCAUGACAGAGACUUAAAAUGCCAAGAACUUGCUCUCCCAGGCUGUCUUCAUAUGUAGUCCGGUUUUGGCCAAUGAGACCCUGAGAUAGUUUACUAGGAGCUUGAGGGAACAUUUUUUUGUCUCUUGAUAAAAAUAGAGGGCUAAACAAAGAGAACUUGCGUCUUUCUUCCUGUCUUGAACAUGGUUUGAGUGAAUACAUGACAUUUGGAGCUGUGGCAGCAAUAUUGUGACCAUGAGGAAAAGGCUGGGAGAAUCACACGUAAGUCAACCCAGAGCCCUGAUACUGCACAACCACCAACCAACACUGGAAUCACCUACUUCAGGACUUCUCAUUAGGAGAUUCUAACACACCCUCCAGGGCAGCAGAUGCUUCCAAAUGAGAAUGCCUGUUACCCUCAGGAGUGGAGGACAGAACAAAAGGUGGAAACUCAGCCCUGUUGCUCAAUGUGCUGUGGUGAGCACCCAGCUGCCACGCUUGCUGAGGCUGGCAGAGCACUUUGGGUCCUUGGUGACUCUCUGAGAGGCACUGGACAAAUUGAC